UCCUGGCUCAGAGCGAACGUUAGCGGCGCGCCUAACACAUGCAAGUCGCACGAGAAAGGGGGCAACCCCCCGGUACAGUGGCGCACGGGUGAGUAACACGUGGGUGAUCUGCCCAGAAGAAGGGGAUAACCUCUCGAAAGGGGGGCUAAUACCGCAUAGGACCACCGGGGCUUUGGCUCUGUGGUGGAAAGGGGCCUCUGUUUACAAGCUCCUGCUUCUGGAUGACGCCCGCGUCCCAUCAGCUAGUUGGUAGGGUAAUGGCCUACCAAGGCUACGACGGGUAGCUGGUCUAAGAGGAUGGCCAGCCACACUGGAACUGAGACACGGUCCAGACUCCUACGGGAGGCAGCAGUGGGGAAUCUUGCGCAAUGGGCGAAAGCCUGACGCAGCGACGCCGCGUGGGUGACGAAGGCC
rnacentral:rRNA from 1 species